rnacentral:rRNA from 1 species
AGUGAACGCUGGCGGUAGGCCUAACACAUGCAAGUCGAACGGCAGCACAGUAAGAGCUUGCUCUUACGGGUGGCGAGUGGCGGACGGGUGAGGAAUACAUCGGAAUCUACUUUUUCGUGGGGGAUAACGUAGGGAAACUUACGCUAAUACCGCAUACGACCUACGGGUGAAAGCAGGGGAUCUUCGGACCUUGCGCGAUUGAAUGAGCCGAUGUCGGAUUAGCUAGUUGGCGGGGUAAAGGCCCACCAAGGCGACGAUCCGUAGCUGGUCUGAGAGGAUGAUCGGCAACACUGGAACGGGGACAGGGUCAAGACUCCAAGGGAGGGAGGAGGUGGGGAAUAUGGGACAAGGGGCGCAGGCCUGUUCAGCCCAACCCGCGUGGGUAAGGAAGGCCUUCGGGUUGUAAAGCCCUUUUGUGGGAAAGGAAAAGCGGAAGGUUAUUCCCCGGCUGUCCGGCCGUACCCAAAGAAUAAGCACCGGCUAACUUCGU